GAUGAGCGCUAGCGGCAGGCUUAAUACAUGCAAGUCGAGGGACAGCACAGGUAGCAAUACUGGGUGGUAACCGGCAAACGGGUGCGGAACACGUACACAACCUUCCUUUAAGUGGGGGAUAGCCCAGAGAAAUUUGGAUUAAUACCCCGUAAUAUAGUUGAAUGGCAUCAUUUGAUUAUUAUAGCUGCGGCGCUUAAUGAUGGGUGUUCGGCUGAUUAGAUAGUUGGCGGGGUAACGGCCCACCUAGUCUACGAACAGUAGCUGAUGUGAGAGCAUGAUCAGCCACACGGGCACUGGGACACGGGCCCGACUCCUACGGGAGGCAGCAGUAAGGAAUAUUGGUCAAUGGACGCAAGUCUGAACCAGCCAUGCCGCGUGAAGGAUUAAGGUCCUCUGGAUUGUAAACUUCUUUUAUUUGGGACGAAAAAGGGCCUUUCUAGGUCAACUGACGGUACCAGAUGAAUAAGCACCGGCUAACUCCGUGCCAGCCGCCGCGGUAACAC
rnacentral:rRNA from 1 species